AACGGCAAGCAUAAGAACAUUAUGAGUUUGUUUUAAAAUUUGAGAUUACAUAGACAGUAUUUUACGUAGAAUAUGGGUAGUUCCCAUGAGCACUAUCUUUCGAAUUUCUGCCAUUUUGGAGUUUCAUGGUAUCUGAGCUAGGCAGGAAUCAACCCCUUUUGCCAUCAUUCCUAUGGCACCUAUGACAACGGGUAUUGUUUUAUUCUUUUAAUUAUUUUAUGUUUGAUUU